rnacentral:rRNA from 1 species
GGAGGGUGCGAGCGUUGUUCGGAAUUACUGGGCGUAAAGCGCGUGUAGGCGGCCUUGCAAGUCAGGCGUGAAAGCCCUCGGCUUAACCGGGGAAGUGCGUCUGAAACUGCUUGGCUUGAGUACGGGAGAGGGAGGCGGAAUUCCCAGUGUAGAGGUGAAAUUCGUAGAUAUUGGGAGGAACACCGGUGGCGAAAGCGGCCUCCUGGACCGAUACUGACGCUGAGACGCGAAAGCGUGGGGAGCAAACAGGAUUAGAUACCCUGGUAGUCCACGCGGUAAACGAUGAUCACUCGCUGUUGGCGAUACACAGUCAGCGGCUAAGCAAAAGCAUUAAGUGAUCCACCUGGGGAGUACGGCCGCAAGGCUG